AUUGAACGCUGGCGGCAGGCUUAACACAUGCAAGUCGAGCGGGGGAAGGUAGCUUGCUACCGGACCUAGCGGCGGACGGGUGAGUAAUGCUUAGGAAUCUGCCUAUUAGUGGGGGACAACAUCUCGAAAGGGAUGCUAAUACCGCAUACGUCCUACGGGAGAAAGCAGGGGAUCUUCGGACCUUGCGCUAAUAGAUGAGCCUAAGUCGGAUUAGCUAGUUGGUGGGGUAAAGGCCUACCAAGGCGACGAUCUGUAGCGGGUCUGAGAGGAUGAUCCGCCACACUGGGACUGAGACACGGCCCAGACUCCUACGGGAGGCAGCAGUGGGGAAUAUUGGACAAUGGGGGGAACCCUGAUCCAGCCAUGCCGCGUGUGUGAAGAAGGCCUUAUGGUUGUAAAGCACUUUAAGCGAGGAGGAGGCUACUUUAGUUAAUACCUAGAGAUAGUGGACGUUACUCGCAGAAUAAGCACCGGCUAACUCUGUGCCAGCAGCCGCGGUAAUACAGAGGGUGCGAGCGUUAAUCGGAUUUACUGGGCGUAAAGCGUGCGUAGGCGGCUUAUUAAGUCGGAUGUGAAAUCCCCGAGCUUAACUUGGGAAUUGCAUUCGAUACUGGUGAGCUAGAGUAUGGGAGAGGAUGGUAGAAUUCCAGGUGUAGCGGUGAAAUGCGUAGAGAUCUGGAGGAAUACCGAUGGCGAAGGCAGCCAUCUGGCCUAAUACUGACGCUGAGGUACGAAAGCAUGGGGAGCAAACAGGAUUAGAUACCCUGGUAGUCCAUGCC
rnacentral:rRNA from 1 species